AUUUAGACCAUGAGAAUAGAUAUUAUGCUACAAGCGCUUCACCUGUUCUAUUUCUCACUUUCAGGACAACACAUAAAAAAAAAAAAAUGUUUCAGUCACCAAGCUACAUAUAUGGAGGAAAAAAACUAAGGGGAAUAGUGAGGAGAAAACAGGAAGUAAAUCACAACAUUUUUUGUUUGAGGAGAUAAACUUUAAAUCUGUCUUAUUUGAUACAAGUACAAGAUCUUUCUUUUUUUUU